AAAAAAAUAGUAUUGACAAAGGCC
rnacentral:sRNA from 1 species